rnacentral:rRNA from 1 species
ACACAUGCAAGUCGAGGGGCAGCAUGGUCUUAGCUUGCUAAGGCUGAUGGCGACCGGCGCACGGGUGAGUAACACGUAUCCAACCUGCCGUCUACUCUUGGCCAGCCUUCUGAAAGGAAGAUUAAUCCAGGAUGGGAUCAUGAGUUCACAUGUCCGCAUGAUUAAAGGUAUUUUCCGGUAGACGAUGGGGAUGCGUUCCAUUAGAUAGUAGGCGGGGUAACGGCCCACCUAGUCAACGAUGGAUAGGGGUUCUGAGAGGAAGGUCCCCCACAUUGGAACUGAGACACGGUCCAAACUCCUACGGGAGGCAGCAGUGAGGAAUAUUGGUCAAUGGGCGAUGGCCUGAACCAGCCAAGUAGCGUGAAGGAUGACUGCCCUAUGGGUUGUAAACUUCUUUUAUAAAGGAAUAAAGUCGGGUAUGCAUACCCGUUUGCAUGUACUUUAUGAAUAAGGAUCGGCUAACUCCGUGCCAGCAGCCGCGGUAAUACGGAGGAUCCGAGCGUUAUCCGGAUUUAUUGGGUUUAAAGGGAGCGUAGAUGGAUGUUUAAGUCAGUUGUGAAAGUUUGCGGCUCAACCGUAAAAUUGCAGUUGAUACUGGAUGUCUUGAGUGCAGUUGAGGCAGGCGGAAUUCGUGGUGUAGCGGUGAAAUGCUUAGAUAUCACGAAGAACUCCGAUUGCGAAGGCAGCCUGCUAAGCUGCAACUGACAUUGAGGCUCGAAAGUGUGGGUAUC